UGAACGCUGGCGGCAUGCCUUACACAUGCAAGUCGAACGGCAGCACGGGUGCUUGCACCUGGUGGCGAGUGGCGAACGGGUGAGUAAUACAUCGGAACAUGUCCUGUAGUGGGGGAUAGCCCGGCGAAAGCCGGAUUAAUACCGCAUACGAUCUACGGAUGAAAGCGGGGGACCUUCGGGCCUCGCGCUAUAGGGUUGGCCGAUGGCUGAUUAGCUAGUUAGUGGGGUAAAGGCCUACCAAGGCGACGAUCAGUAGCUGGUCUGAGAGGACGACCAGCCACACUGGGACUGAGACACGGCCCAGACUCCUACGGGAGGCAGCAGUGGGGAAUUUUGGACAAUGGGCGAAAGCCUGAUCCAGCAAUGCCGCGUGUGUGAAGAAGGCCUUCGGGUUGUAAAGCGCUUUUGUCCGGAAAGAAAUCCUUGGCUCUAAUACAGUCGGGGGAUGACGGUACCGGAAGAAUAAGCACCGGCUAACUACGUGCCAGCAGCCGCGGUAAUACGUAGGGUGCGAGCGUUAAUCGGAAUUACUGGGCGUAAAGCGUGCGCAGGCGGUUUGCUAAGACCGAUGUGAAAUCCCCGGGCUCAACCUGGGAACUGCAUUGGUGACUGGCAGGCUAGAGUAUGGCAGAGGGGGGGUAGAAUUCCACGUGUAGCAGUGAAAUGCGUAGAGAUGUGGAGGAAUACCGAUGGCGAAAGCAGCCCCCUGGGCCAAUACUGACGCUCAUGCACGAAAGCGUGGGGAGCAAACAGGAUUAGAUACCCUGGUAGUCCACGCCCUAAACGAUGUCAACUAGUUGUUGGGGAUUCAUUUCCUUAGUAACGUAGCUAACGCGUGAAGUUGACCGCCUGGGGAGUACGGUCGCAAGAUUAAAACUCAAAGGAAUUGACGGGGACCCGCACAAGCGGUGGAUGAUGUGGAUUAAUUCGAUGCAACGCGAAAAACCUUACCUACCCUUGACAUGGUCGGAAUCCCGCUGAGAGGUGGGAGUGCUCGAAAGAGAACCGGCGCACAGGUGCUGCAUGGCUGUCCUCAGCUCGUGUCGUGAGAUGUCCCCGCUAAGUCCCGCAACGAGCGCAACCCUUGUCCUUAGUUGCUACGCAAGAGCACUCUAAGGAGACUGCCGGUGACAAACCGGAGGAAGGUGGGGAUGACGUCAAGUCCUCAUGGCCCUUAUGGGUAGGGCUUCACACGUCAUACAAUGGUCGGAACAGAGGGUUGCCAACCCGCGAGGGGGAGCUAAUCCCAGAAAACCGAUCGUAGUCCGGAUUGCACUCUGCAACUCGAGUGCAUGAAGCUGGAAUCGCUAGUAAUCGCGGAUCAGCAUGCCGCGGUGAAUACGUUCCCGGGUCUUGUACACACCGC
rnacentral:rRNA from 1 species